AUUGAACGCUGGCGGCAGGCUUAACACAUGCAAGUCGAGCGAGCGGCGGACGGGUGAGUAAUGUCUGGGAAACUGCCUGAUGGAGGGGGAUCACUACUGGAAACGGUAGCUAAUACCGCAUACCAUCAGAUGUGCCCAGAUGGGCUUAGCUAGUAGGUGGGUUAAUGGCUCACCUAGGCGACGAUCCCUAGCUGGUCUGAGAGGAUGAACAGACAAACUGGAACGGAGACACGGUACAGACUCCUACGGGAGGCAGCAGUGGGGAAUAUUGAACAAUGGGCGCAAGCCUGAUGCAGCCAUGCCGCGUGUGUGAGGAAGGCCUUCGGGUGGUAAAGCACUUUCAGCGAGGAGGCGUUACUCGCAGAAGAAGCACCGGAUAACUCCGUGCCAGCAGCCGCGGUAAUAC
rnacentral:rRNA from 1 species